GACAGCUUUGGCUAUGGGAUUCCAGCUCGAAUUUGUGGCUGUGGAUGCUCUCUAAAGACCUCUACUCUUUCUUGACUUAACCAGAAACACAAAUGUAAAUCUCAUGAUCGUAUAACAUGAGAGUAAUUUAUUUUGGAUGCAAUUCUCUACUCCUUAGCUCAGGCGGUUGAAAGAAAAUGAUGAAGCAGCCUUUUUAAACAAUAACUCCAUCAACUCAGAGUACGUCCUUGCAAAUAAAAUGAUGAAGCAGCAAUUUCACACAAUAAUUACCCUACUGAUGCAUCUCUCUUUGGGCAUCGGUUACACACCUUGUUACACAAUUUUCAGAGCCUGCAAAUUAUGGCGACUAGCGGAGCUUUGGCUAUGGGAUUCCAGCUCAAAUUAUGGCGACUAGCGGAGCUUUGGCUUUGAAGCCUCUGGUUGCUCUCUACGUGAAUCUAUGGCACAAGGAUGCUCUCUAUCUCGAAAUCUAUAAUCCAACAUGUUGUGUGUCGAGAGAUGAAUAAAAAUUAAAUCAUAGUGUCGCUGCUCUCCCCUAAGCUUACUCUGAUUUUUUUGACAAAUAAAAUGAGUGACAAAUAGAAAACCUGAUAACUUAGACUACAACAUUUUCAUU